CCAGGCAUCCCCGAGGGAAGGACACGGCGAUGAUGCGCUCCGUGAUGUACGUCAGGUCCAGCUCGUAUCCCUCCUCCAUGUUGAAAGCGAGAUUCUCCUAUCACAAGAGACCCGAUGAAUCGAUCGCCGCCGCAGGCUACAUCCCGGCCGGCGCUUUGAAGGGGGCCCGAGAGGGAGCCAACCGUUUCAGACCGGCCCAAUGAAAGAAGCCGUGUGUCUGAAGAGGUCAUCGCUCCGGGAAACUUCGUGGUCAAGUGUUUUCCCCGGCCAUUCCCAUAAAAAAAAGACUGCGCUGGGAUUCCCGCUGACGACAUUUCAACAAUCGACACGGUGUGCUGUUUUACCUUCUGCUGGCUAAUCCAGGCCAUGGCGUCUUUGAAGAGCC